rnacentral:rRNA from 1 species
UUUACGGAGAGUUUGAUCCUGGCUCAGGACGAACGCUGGCGGCGUGCUUAACACAUGCAAGUCGAACGAUGAUCC